UACGAAGGGGGGCUAGCGUUGCUCGGAAUUACUGGGCGUAAAGCGCACGUAGGCGGUCUUUUAAGUCGGCGGUGAAAGCCCGGAGCUCAACUCCGGAACUGCCAUUGAAACUGUGAGACUGGAGUACGAGAGAGGUGAGUGGAAUUCCCAGUGUAGAGGUGAAAUUCGUAGAUAUUGGGAAGAACACCGGUGGCGAAGGCGGCUCACUGGCUCGUAACUGACGCUCAGGCGCGACAGCGUGGGGAUCAAACAGG
rnacentral:rRNA from 1 species